GACGAACGCUGGCGGCGUGCUUAACACAUGCAAGUCGAACGGAAAGGCCCUGCUUGCAGGGUACUCGAGUGGCGAACGGGUGAGUAACACGUGGGUGAUCUGCCCUGCACUUCGGGAUAAGCUUGGGAAACUGGGUCUAAUACCGGAUAGGAACCAUCUUUAGUGUGGUGGUUGGAAAGUUUUUUCGGUGUAGGAUGAGCUCGCGGCCUAUCAGCUUGUUGGUGGGGUAAUGGCCUACCAAGGCGGCGACGGGUAGCCGGCCUGAGAGGGUGUACGGCCACAUUGGGACUGAGAUACGGCCCAGACACCUACGGGGGGCAGCAGUGGGGGAUAUUGCACAAUGUGCGCAAGCCUGAUGCAGCGACGCCGCGUGGGGGAUGAAGGCCUUCGGGUUGUAAACUCCUUUCGCUAGGGACGAAGCUUUGUUGUGACGGUACCUAGAUAAGAAGCACCGGCUAACUACGUG
rnacentral:rRNA from 1 species